rnacentral:rRNA from 1 species
AUUGAACGCUGGCGGCAUGCCUUACACAUGCAAGUCGAACGGCAGCACGGGAGCAAUCCUGGUGGCGAGUGGCGAACGGGUGAGUAAAGUAUCGGAACGUGCCCAGUCGUGGGGGAUAACGUAGCGAAAGUUACGCUAAUACCGCAUACGAUCUAUGGAUGAAAGCGGGGGAUCGCAAGACCUCGCGCGAUUGGAGCGGCCGAUAUCAGAUUAGGUAGGUGGUGGGGUAAAGGCUCACCAAGCUGACGAUCUGUAGCUGGUCUGAGAGGACGACCAGCCACACUGGGACUGAGACACGGCCCAGACUCCUACGGGAGGCAGCAGUGGGGAAUUUUGGACAAGGGGCGAAAGCCUGAUCCAGCCAUGCCGCGUGCAGGAUGAAGGCCUUCGGGUUGUAAACUGCUUUUGUACGGAACGAAAAGGUUUGGCCUAAUAAGCUGAGCUCAUGACGGUACCGUAAGAAUAAGCACCGGCUAACUACGUGCCAGCCGCCGCGGUAA